rfam:Cordyceps confragosa RCEF 1005 scaffold_78, whole genome shotgun sequence.
GUCUCAUUAGCUCAAUGGCAGAGCUUAAUACUUCUAAUAUUAUGAUCCUAGUUCGAUUCUGGGAUGAGACU